rnacentral:rRNA from 1 species
UAGGGAAUCUUCGGCAAUGGGGGCAACCCUGACCGAGCAACGCCGCGUGAGUGAAGAAGGUUUUCGGAUCGUAAAGCUCUGUUGUAAGUCAAGAGCGGGUGUGAGAGUGGAAAGUUCACACUGUGACGGUAGCUUACCAGAAAGGGACGGCUAACUACGUGCCAGCAGCCGCGGUAAUACGUAGGUCCCGAGCGUUGUCCGGAUUUAUUGGGCGUAAAGCGAGCGCAGGCGGUUUGAUAAGUCUU